CUGGCCCUACGGGGGGCAGCAGUAGGGAAUCUUCCACAAUGGGCGAAAGCCUGAUGGAGCAACGCCGCGUGGGUGAAGAAGGUCUUCGGAUCGUAAAACCCUGUUGUUAGAGAAGAAAGUGCGUGAGAGUAACUGUUCACAUUUCGACGGUAUCUAACCAGAAAGCCACGGCUAACUACGUGCCAGCAGCCGCGGUAAUACGUAGGUGGCAAGCGUUAUCCGGAUUUAUUGGGCGUAACGGGAACGCAGGCGGUCUUUUACGUCUGAUGUGAAAGCCUUCGGCUUAACCGGAGGA
rnacentral:rRNA from 1 species